rnacentral:rRNA from 1 species
CCGUCCCAGUUCGGAUCGCAGGCUGCAACCCGCCUACACGAAGUCGGAAUCGCUAGUAAUCGCGGAUCAGCAUGCCGCGGUGAAUACGUUCCCGGGCCUUGUACACACCGCCCGUCACACCAUGGGAGUUUGUAACGCCCAAAGUCGGUGGCCUAACCUUUAUGGAGGGAGCCGCCUAAGGCGGGACAGAUGACUGGGGUGAAGUCGUAACAAGGUAGC